rnacentral:ncRNA from 2 species
GAAGUUACACAAGCGCCAGAGCUUGAGACUGCGCGGGAACGGCUAUGUUGUGAAAGAGAAGUUGCCUUGAUUACGAGGCUAACUGAUUUUCUUUUUCAUAGAUUGGGCCAUCGGCAGAGCAAGCUGACGAGGUGGAGGUGUUCGAAUUGUUCGGCGGGGACCUCCCGGUAAUCUGCACCAACCGUAAGCCGUAUCGGAAAAUGAGUGGGCGACCGUUCAUACAACGUACCGGCGGGUGCUAUC